AUUGAACGCUGGCGGCAGGCCUAACACAUGCAAGUCGAGCGAGCGGCGGACGGGUGAGUAAUGUCUGGGAAAAUGCCGGAUGGAGAGGGAUCACUACUGGAAAAGGUAGCUAAUCCCGCAUAACAUCAGAUGUGCCCAGAUGGGAUUAGCUAGUAGGUGGGGUAACGGCUCACCUAGGCGACGAUCCCUAGCUGGCCUGAGAGGAUGACCAGCCACACGGGAACUGAGACACGGUCCAGACUCCUACGGGAGGCAGCAGUGGGGAAUAUUGCACAAUGGGCGCAAGCCUGAUGCAGCCAUGCCGCGUGUGUGAAGAAGGUCUUCGGGUUGUAAAGCACUUUUAGCGGGGAGGCGUUACCCGCAGAAGAAGCAACGGCUAACUCCGUGCCAGCAGCCGCGGUAAUAC
rnacentral:rRNA from 1 species